rnacentral:rRNA from 1 species
GACGAACGCUGGCGGCGUGCUUAACACAUGCAAGUCGAGCGGUAAGGCCCUUUCGGGGGUACACGAGCGGCGAACGGGUGAGUAACACGUGGGUGACCUGCCCUCAGCUCUGGGAUAAGCCUGGGAAACCGGGUCUAAUACCGGAUAUGACUCCAUGACGCAUGUUGUGGGGUGGAAAGCCUUGUGCGGCUGAGGAUGGGCCCGCGGCCUAUCAGCUUGUUGGUGGGGUGAUGGCCUACCAAGGCGACGACGGGUAGCCGGCCUGAGAGGGCGACCGGCCACACUGGGACUGAGACACGGCCCAGACUCCUACGGGAGGCAGCAGUGGGGAACCUUGCGCAAUGGGCGAAAGCCUGACGCAGCGACGCCGCGUGAGGGAUGACGGCCU